CGGGGAUAGCUCAGUUGGGAGAGCGUCAGACUGAAGAUCUGAAGGUCGCGUGUUCGAUCCCCACGCUCACCG
rfam:Brassica napus, WGS project CCCW01000000 data, contig: 10426